UACGUAGGGUGCAAGCGUUAAUCGGAAUUACUGUGCGUAAAGCGGGCGCAGGCGGUUUUGUAAGUCUGACGUGAAAGCCCCGGGCUCAACCUGGGAAUUGCGUUGGAGACUGCAAGGCUUGAAUCUGGCAGAGGGGGGUAGAAUUCCACGUGUAGCAGUGAAAUGCGUAGAGAUGUGGAGGAACACCGAUGGCGAAGGCAGCCCCCUGGGUCAAGAUUGACGCUCAUGCACGAAAGCGUGGGGAGCAAACAGG
rnacentral:rRNA from 1 species